GAUGAACGCUGGCGGCGUGCCUAAUACAUGCAAGUCGAGCGAACGGACGCGAAGCUUGCUUUUCUGAUGUUAGCGGCGGACGGGUGAGUAACACGUGUAUAACCUACCUAUAAGACUGGGAUAACUUCGGGCAACCGGUGCUAAUACCGGAUAAUAUUUUGAACCGCAUGGUUCAAAAGUGAAAGACGGUCUUGCUGUCACUUAUAGAUGGAUCCGCGCUGCAUUAGCUAGUUGGUAAGGUAACGGCUUACCCAGGCAACGAUGCAUAGCCGACCGGUGAGGGGGAUCGCCCGCACGGGAGCGUGAACACGGUCCAGAGGCCUGCGGGAGGCAGCAGUAGGGAAUCUUCCGCAAUGGGCGAAAGCCUGACGGAGCAACGCCGCGUGAGUGGUGAAGGUCUUGGGAGCGGAAAGCUCGGUUAUUAGGGAAGAACAUAUGUGUAAGGAACUGUGCAGAUCUUGACGGUACCUAGUCAGGAAGCCACGGCUAACUACGUG
rnacentral:rRNA from 1 species